rnacentral:rRNA from 1 species
ACCAAGGGUUCCUGUCCAACGUUAAUCGGGGCAGGGUGAGUCGACCCCUAAGGCGAGGCCGAAAGGCGUAGUCGAUGGGAAACGGGUUAAUAUUCCCGUACUUGGUGUUACUGCGAAGGGGGGACGGAGAAGGCUAUGUUGGCCGGGCGACGGUUGUCCCGGUUUAAGCGUGUAGGUGUGUGUUCCAGGUAAAUCCGGUUCACUUUAACACUGAGGCGUGAUGACGAGGCACUACGGUGCUGAAGUAACAAAUGCCCUGCUUCCAGGAAAAGCCUCUAAGCAUCAGGUAACAUCAAAUCGUACCCCAAACCGACACAGGUGGUCAGGUAGAGAAUACCAAGGCGCUUGAGAGAACUCGGGUGAAGGAACUAGGCAAAAUGGUGCCGUAACUUCGGGAGAAGGCACGCUGACACGUAGGUGAA